AGAGUUUGAUCCUGGCUCAGAUUGAACGCUGGCGGCAUGCCUUACACAUGCAAGUCGAACGGCAGCGCGGGGGGUAACUCCUGGCGGCGAGUGGCGAACGGGUGAGUAAUAUAUCGGAACGUGCCCUGGAGUGGGGGAUAACUAGUCGAAAGAUUAGCUAAUACCGCAUACGAUCUACGGAUGAAAGUGGGGGAUUCGCAAGAACCUCAUGCUCGUGGAGCGGCCGAUAUCUGAUUAGCUAGUUGGUAGGGUAAAAGCCUACCAAGGCGACGAUCAGUAGCUGGUUUGAGAGAACGACCAGCCACACUGGGACUGAGACACGGCCCAGACUCCUACGGGAGGCAGCAGUGGGGAAUUUUGGACAAUGGGGGCAACCCUGAUCCAGCAAUGCCGCGUGUGUGAAGAAGGCCUUC
rnacentral:rRNA from 1 species